UACGAAGGGGGCUAGCGUUGCUCGGAAUUACUGGGCGUAAAGGGAGCGUAGGCGGAUAGUUUAGUCAGAGGUGAAAGCCCAGGGCUCAACCUUGGAAUUGCCUUUGAUACUGGCUAUCUUGAGUGUGGGAGAGGUAUGUGGAACUCCGAGUGUAGAGGUGAAAUCCGUAGAUAUUCGGAAGAACACCAGUGGCGAAGGCGACAUACUGGCCCAUUACUGACGCUGAGGCUCGAAAGCGUGGGGAGCAAACAGG
rnacentral:rRNA from 1 species